AUUCACACUUGAUACAAAAUCUUAACUCAAAUUUUGAAAUUAUAUAAACUCGACAUCAAAACUAUAGUACUAAUGAAUAUUCAAAUGGCUCCCAUGACACAUAUUUUUUUCAUUAUUUUCUCAUUUUUCUUUCUCCCACAGCAGAUUUAUUUCUCUAAUGGCCAAAAUGUUGUUAAGGCAGGGUAUUGGGUGAGUAACAGAGGAUUAGCUUUAAACAACAUAGAUUCAACUCUUUUUACUCAUUUAUUUUGUGCAUUUGCUGAUCUUAAUUCUCAAUUAAAUCAGUUAAUCAUUUCGCCGGAAAAUCAAGAUUCUUUCCGGCAAUUUACAAGCACAGUUCAACAGAAAAAUCCUUCUGCAAAAACUCUAUUGUCUAUAGGUGGAGGAAGUGCCAAUAUAACAGAUUAUGGAGUUAUGGCUAGAACACCAAAUUCAAGAAAAUUUUUUAUUGAUUCAUCAAUAAGAUUAGCUAGACAAUUGGGAUUCCAUGGCCUUGAUCUUGGUUGGUACCCAGAAUCAGCUACAGACAUGACAAAUUUAGGUACCCUGUUAAAUGAGUGGCGCACUGCUAUCAACAUAGAGGCGAGAAACUCCAACAAUGCGUCAUUACUUUUUACGGCAACUGUUUCUAGCUCGCCAGUAGAAAAUUCGAUUUAUCCAAUACAAUCUGUGAUAAAAAACUUAGAUUGGAUUAGCCUGAUGGCAUAUGACUUCUAUGGACCAAAUUGGUCUCCGAACCAAACCAAUUCACAUGCACAACUAUUUGAUGCCGUAAACGAAGGCAAGAGUGGUAGGGAUGGAAUCGAUCAAUGGAUUAAAGAAGGUGUUCCAGCACAAAAAUUGGUUCUUGGAAUUCCAUUUUAUGGAUAUGCGUGGCGAUUAGUUAAUUCGAGUAGUCAUGGUCUCAGAGCGCCUGCUGACGGAAAUUCAAGUGUUGGCUCUGAUGAUGGGUCGAUGACCUAUACCAAAAUUAGGGAAUUUAUAGUGCAGAAUCGUGUCACGCCUGUGUAUAAUGCAACCAUUGUUGGAGAUUAUUGUUACUCUGGAAGUACUUGGAUUAGCUAUGAUGAUACUGAUAGUGUCAGAGACAAGGUUUCUUACAUUAAAAGUACAGGAUUGCUUGGUUACUUUGCAUGGCAUAUUGCAGCAGACAGUGAUUUGGUUCUUUCUCAGGCUGCUUCAAAAGCUGAUGGGGGAGGAGGAAAGCACAAGAGGAAAAUUAUCAUUUUAAUUUCAGUGGGUGCAGUAGUCUUCUUGAUUUUACUCGUGUUCACAAUUUGGUUUAUUCGAAGGAGACAAGUCUUAAAAUUUCAAGGGAGGAAUUCGAGGAACAAAUUGGGAGGCAAAAGUAAAGCAAGAAAAGGUGAGGAGGGCAGCAAUUUGCAGGUUUUCAGUUUUAAUCAGAUGAAGGCAUCUACAAACAAUUUUUCAUUUAACAAUAAGCUUGGACAAGGUGGAUACGGACCUGUUUACAAGGGAAAGUUGAGAAAUGGGCAAGAAAUAGCAGUGAAAAGGCUAUCAGCUACUUCAAAUCAAGGAUUGGAAGAGUUUGAAAAUGAAGUGAUCCUUACGGCAAAAUUGCUACACAUAAAUCUUGUAAAAGUAGUGGGAUUUUGCAUUGAAAGAGAGGAAAAGAUGUUGAUCUACGAACAUAUGCCCAACGGGAGCUUGGACCAAUACAUUUACAAUCAAGGCAGACGAUUACUUCUAGACUGGGAAAAAAGAGUGCAGAUAAUUGAAGGCAUAAUUCAGGGGUUGCUAUACCUCCAAGAAUACUCAAGAUUAACAAUCAUUCAUAGGGAUUUGAAAGCCAACAAUAUUCUAUUGGACACUCACAUGAAACCAAAGAUAUCUGACUUUGGAAUGGCAAGAAUGUUUAAGGAGAAUGAAGUUGAAGCAAAUACAGACAGAAUAGUUGGAACACUGGGUUAUAUUCCACCUGAAUAUGUAGAGCAGGGCAUAUAUUCAAUGAAAUCUGAUGUUUUCAGUUUUGGAGUACUUCUUCUUCAAAUCAUAAGUGGAAAGAAGAAUACAUGUCUACAUGGUGCAGAUGAACAACUAAACCUUCUUGAAUAUGCAUUUCAGAUGUGGAAAGAAGGUAAAGGGAUGGAGUUUAUGGAUGAGUCACUUGAUGAUACAACAUCAUCUUGCAAACUAUUGAAUUGCAUGCAAAUUGCACUAUUAUGUGUCCAAAAAAAUCCAUUGGAACGGCCUACAAUGUUGGCAGUUUCCAAUAUGUUCAAGAAUAUUGCAAAUUUAGCUAUGGUUUCUCCCAAGAGGCCUGCAUUUUCUACAAGGGAAGAUGAAGAAGGUGACAAUGUGAAAGGGGAAUCGCAGAAAAUCGAAGAAGUUGACACUGCAACUAUUACACAAUUGGUUGCAAGAUGAUAUGUAUUAUUCCUUUUCCUACUUUAUAGGAUUUUAUGUAGUGGAGGCUCAAAUAUAAUUACCACUUCAACCAUUAUUUAUUGGUAAGAUCUAGUGGCGGAUCCAACAUUUUAAUUUGAUGGGUUCAACCUCUGAAACUGUUACCUCUAAAAUCAUAAAUUUUUUGAAAUUAUGGGCUCAAAAUGUAUUUUAAAAUGUUAGUAAUUUUUCACACACACACACUCAUGUCCAGUCCAAAAUCAUGACACGUAUUACAUGCUUUGGUCCAAAAGAUUUCAGAGAUUUGUCUCUUGGGCUGCAAGCAUCGAGCCCAAAACCACACGUAUCAUAUGAACUCGUUUUCUGUCUUAUACACUUCACUUCUCUAUUUUCGAGGUGGGACAUGCCUUAGGAGUGAUCAUACGCAUCCUUUUCUCUGAAGCUUGUCAGCCUAGAAGUCUGUCAGUCCUUCUUUUUGGCUCGCCCUUAUCCCUACCCUUCAACAUGAGUGUCACCUCUACCAUAGAGGAUCAGUGUUCGUGCUGAGGUUUUAUAUGAUUUAGAAGUGAUCGGAAGAAACCAAGUGAAAAUAAAGUCAAAAAGAGACCAAAUUGGACAGAUUUGCAAAACUGUCAAACUGGACAGUUUUGCAAAAACGGGACAGAUUCGCAAAAACGGGCAGAAUUGCAAAUCUGAAAUAUGGGGCAUAAAAGAGAGGCUUAGGGAAAAAAUAUUAUCAUCUUUGGCAUAAUACAUAAACUUGGAGGCUAGGGUUUCAUAACCAACACCAUUGGAGGAGAAGAUUGAAAACACUUUAAUGAGAUAUUUCUUAAUACUUUCUUCAAUUCCUUGUUUUGUAUUGAAUAUUUAUGUGUGUAGUAUUUCAUUUCAAUACUUGAACCUUGUUUAUGGAA